rnacentral:rRNA from 1 species
UGGUGGAGUGAUUUGUCUGGUUAAUUCCGUUAACGAACGAGACCUCCGCGUGCUAACUAGUUUCGCUUACAAUUUGUUGUAGGUUUGUAGACUUCUUAGAGGGACUUUUGGGUAAUCAACCAAAGGAAGUUGGAGGCAAUAACA